ensembl:misc_RNA Metazoa_SRP Metazoan signal recognition particle RNA
GCCGUAUGUGAAGAUGCUUUAUAGAGGUGCAUCUGCAGUCACAACUGCUACUUUGCAGGCUGAGACAGGAGGAUCACUUGAUCCCAGGAGCUCUGGCCUAUAGUACACUUUGCUAAUUGGGUGCCCACACUAAGUUUGCUAUUAAUAUGGUGACCUCUGAAGAGCAGAGGACCGCCAGGUUGCCUAAUGAGAGGUGAACUCGAACAGGUCAAAAACAGAACCUGUCAAAACUCAUGUGCUAAGCAGUAGCAGGAUCGUGCCUGUGAACAGCCACCGCCCUCCAGCCUGAGCAACCCAGUGAGAACCCAUCUCU